AUGCAAGAAGUGGAGGAGUUUGGAUUUGAGAUAAUGAUUCAAAUUAUGAAUAAGACUACAAAUAAUAUCUUGGAAAAUGACCUCAAGCCACAAUACUUGUGAUUGGCUUCACUAGUUGACUUUGAAGUGUUUCUGGUGCCAUCACAAUCUACAUAUAGGCUGGCCAAGGUGCUGCAGGAAAGUGAACAAGGAAGAGAGCAAGAAAUUUUGCCUUACAAACACCACUAGAAGUUAGAACCAAGUGGAAGAAAGUAGAUGGCGGGCAGGUCCGUUAAAAGUUCAUGUUUAUUUUCUGGAUUACUGGUUGGAAUAGGACUUCUAAAGCUAGAGAUAGUUCAUCAAACUAAACAUUGAGUCGUCCAUAGUUUGAAUGGCGAAAUUGUGUUUCCAUGCCUGAAUUAAAGUUACUGGAGGAAGGAAAAAGUGGUUUUGGGCCACACUGUUUAGUUGUGUUAAAUUUGAUGCAUAUUCGAAUUAUAUAUUUCCUUGGAAUUCCAUAGGAAGAUAAGGACUGCAAUGCAAAAGUAGUUUAGAUUAGCAGAGAAAUGAAGUAGCCUCAGGCGUGCCGCUUGUAUGACCCGGAGUCCAGACUCCAAGU
rnacentral:sRNA from 1 species